GAUGAACGCUAGCGGCAGGCUUAAUACAUGCAAGUCGAGGGGUAGCAAGAUUGUAGCAAUACAAUUGUUGACGACCGGCAAACGGGUGCGGAACACGUACACAACCUUCCUACAAGUGGGGAAUAGCCCAGAGAAAUUUGGAUUAAUACCCCGUAACAUAGCGAUGUGGCAUCACAUUGCUAUUAUAGCUUCGGCGCUUGUUGAUGGGUUUGCGUAUGAUUAGAUAGUUGGCGAGGUAACGGCUCACCAAGUCUACGAUCAUUAGCUGAUGUGAGAGCAUGAUCAGCCACACGGGCACUGAGACACGGGCCCGACUCCUGCGGUAGGCAGCAGUAAGGAAUAUUGGUCAAUGGACGCAAGUCUGAACCAGCCAUGCCGCGUGAAGGAUUAAGGUCCUCUGGAUUGUAAACUUCUUUUAUAUGGGACGAAAAAAGGUCUUUCUAGACCCCUUGACGGUACCAUAUGAAUAAGCACCGGCUAACUCCGUGCCAGCCGCCGCCGUAACAC
rnacentral:rRNA from 1 species